GGGGCCCGCACAAGCGAGGAGCAUGUGGUUUAAUUCGAUGAUACGCGAGGAACCUUACCUGGGCUCGAACGUAAGAUGACUGUAGGUGAAAGCUUACAUCUCUUCGGAGCAUUUUACGAGGUGCUGCAUGGUUGUCGUCAGCUCGUGCCGUGAGGUGUCGGGUUAAGUCCCAUAACGAGCGCAACCCCUACCUUUAGUUGCCAUCAGGUAAUGCUGGGGACUCUAAAGGAACUGCCUACGCAAGUAGUGAGGAAGGCGGGGAUGACGUCAAAUCAGCACGGCCCUUACGUCCAGGGCUACACACGUGCUACAAUGGCCGAUACAGAGGGCAGCUACCUGGUGACAGGAUGCAAAUCUCCAAAGUCGGUCUCAGUUCGGAUCGGAGUCUGCAACCCGACUCCGUGAAGUUGGAUUCGCUAGUAAUCGCGCAUCAGCCAUGGCGCGGUGAAUACGUUCCCGGGCCUU
rnacentral:rRNA from 1 species